rnacentral:rRNA from 1 species
GACUAAACUGUCUCUUACGGGUAUUCAAUGAAACUGAUCUUUCAGUCCAAAAGCUGAAAUGCCUACACCAGACGAGAAGACCCUGUGGAGCUUCCUAAACCAAUACCAACCCCUAUGGUUAUACGGUUUUUAGUUGGGGCGACUUCGGAGAACAAAAAAACCUCCAACUUGGAAAUUUUCCUGAUUAAGAUCCACACAUCUAAAUAUAUAACUUGACCCAGUAGGCAAUUAUCCCUAUCUGACCAAGGAACCAAGUUACCCCAGGGAUAACAGCGCUAUCCUCUUCUAGAGUCCCUAUCGACAAGAGGGCUUACGACCUCGAUG